AAAUAAGAAACAAAUAAUUGUAUUUAGUUUCGACCUAAAAAUUAGAUGUUUAAUCAUCCUUAUUUU
rnacentral:tRNA from 1 species